GAUGAACGCUAGCGGCAGGCCUAAUACAUGCAAGUCGAACGAUAUUACCCAGCUUGCUGGGUAUGAAAGUGGCGCACGGGUGCGUAACGCGUAUGCAACCUACCUUAUUCAGGGGGAUAGCCCGAAGAAAUUCGGAUUAACACCGCAUAGAAUCACAGUUCAGCAUUGGACAAUGAUCAAAUAUUUAUAGGAAUAAGAUGGGCAUGCGUGUCAUUAGCUAGUUGGCGGGGUAACGGCUCACCAAGGCGACGAUGACUAGGGGAUCUGAGAGGAUGACCCCCCACACUGGUACUGAGACACGGACCAGACUCCUACGGGAGGCAGCAGUAAGGAAUAUUGGUCAAUGGAGGCAACUCUGAACCAGCCAUGCCGCGUGCAGGAAGACGGCCCUCUGGGUUGUAAACUGCUUUUAUUCGGGAAUAAACCUAUUUACGUGUAAAUAGCUGAAUGUACCGAAGGAAUAAGGAUCGGCUAACUCCGUGCCAGCAGCCGCCGUAA
rnacentral:rRNA from 1 species